GAGGAGGCUCUGAACAGCAUGAGACUGGCAGAUAAAGUACCUGUGUGAGAACUCCACUCUCCAUAUCGGCAUUGUGUUCAGCACUUCCUUGUCCACUGUUUCAACAAGAUCAGUUUCUCUGUACACAAGGUACAGAAAUACAGCAAGGAUAUGGAAUAAGCAAGAAAUUUUUCUGCAACUUCAGUGAUCCAGUUCUUUAAAAAUCCAAGCUCAGAACAUUUUCCAGGCAGCAACAACAUCUGUUCCAGCAAUGAGCCAUUUGUUCACUGACUUCAGUAUGUCUCAUCACAGCAUAGUGUGCAUCAUUGUUGCUGCCAAAGGAUUUAAAGGUAAACAUUCUAUUGUGAAAACUGGAUACAAGACAGCUCUACCUAGACCUUUAAUCAUAUUUGAGGAGUUGACCCAGGAGCAAGCUGGAACAAAAAGUUUAAUUUCUAAGAUGUAUACAAUUUUGAGUGAAAAAGAUGUUGGUAAGAAAACAGCCCAGAUGAAAAGAUGGAGAUGGAUUUGUACAAAGAAAUUGAUCUAGAUGAAUGGAUCUCUGUAGGGGAAAGGGGUUAUACAUCUUCAAUUUGUGUAGCGCAUAAAGAAAAUGUUUAUAAAUUAGUGUAUAGAUGGCAUUUGACUCCAGUCAAGAUCCAUCAUAUUUUUGUUGCUAAGGAGGCACUUUAUUGAAGGGGUUUCUGGGAAAGCAGAACAUAUUCGCAUAUGUGGUGGUUGUGUCCAGGAAUUGGAUGGUUUUAGGAGGAAAUUAUUGAAGACAUUCAUCUUAUAACAAAUUGCUAGCUUCCCAGAGAUUCCCCUGACCUGCUUACUUAAUGCUCCAGUAAAA